CAAUAAGCGGAGGAAAAGAAACUAACGAGGAUUCCCCUAGUAACUGCGAGUGAAGCGGGAAAAGCUCAAAUUUGAAAUCUGGCAGUCCUCUGGCUGUCCGAGUUGUAAACUAGAGAAGUGUUACCCGCGUUGGACCGUGUACAAGUCUCCUGGAAUGGAGCGUCAUAGAGGGUGAGAAUCCCGUCUUUGACACGGACUACCAAGGCUUUGUGGUACGCUCUCAAAGAGUCGAGUUGUUUGGGAAUGCAGCUCAAAAUGGGUGGUAAAUGCCAUCUAAAGCUAAAUAUUGGCGAGAGACCGAUAGCGAACAAGUACCGUGAGGGAAAGAUGAAAAGAACUUUGGAAAGAGAGUUAAACAGUACGUGAAAUUGCUGAAAGGGAAACGCUUAAAGUCAGUCGCGUCGGCUUGGAAUCAACCUUGCUUUUGCUGGGUGUACUUCCUUGUCGAUGGGUCAACAUCAGUUUUGACCGGUGGAUAAAGUCAGUCGGAAUGUGGCUCCCUCGGGAGUGUUAUAGCCUUCUGUCGCAUGCAUCGGUUGGGACUGAGGACCGCAGCACGCCGUUAAGGCCUGGUUUCGACCAAGUUCGUGCUUAGGAUGUUGGCAUAAUGGCUUUAAUCGACCCGUCUUGAAACACGGACCAAGGAGUCUAACAUGCCUGCGAGUGUUUGGGUGGUAAACCCUUGCGCGUAAUGAAAGUGAAAGUUGAGAUCCCUGUCGUGGGGAGCAUCGACGCCCAGACCAGAGCUUUUGUGACGGAUCUGCGGUAGAGCAUGUGUGUUGGGACCCGAAAGAUGGUGAACUAUGCCUGAAUAGGGUGAAGCCAGAGGAAACUCUGGUGGAGGCUCGUAGCGAUUCUGACGUGCAAAUCGAUCGUCAAAUUUGGGUAUAGGGGCGAAAGACUAAUCGAACCAUCUAGUAGCUGGU
rnacentral:rRNA from 1 species